rnacentral:rRNA from 1 species
UACGGGGGGAGCAAGCGUUGUUCGGAUUUACUGGGCGUAAAGGGCGCGUAGGCGGCGUGACAAGUCACUUGUGAAAUCUCCGGGCUUAACCCGGAGCGGCCAAGUGAUACUGUCGUGCUAGAGUGCGGAAGGGGCUACUGGAAUUCUCGGUGUAGCGGUGAAAUGCGUAGAUAUCGGGAGGAACACCAGUGGCGAAGGCGGCCGCCGAGCCUGCACCUGACGCUGAAGCGCGACAGCGUGGGGAGCAAACGGG